rnacentral:tRNA from 1 species
UAUAUCUUAGUAUAUGACGUAUAAAAGUUUUUGAUAUUUUAGGAGAUAGUUUAAUUCUAUUAGGUAUAA